CAGGGAAUAUUAGAAAUGGACGAAAGUCUGAUCUAGCAACACCGCGUGUGCGAAGAAGGCCUUCGGGUCGUAAAGCACUUUUUGGAAGGAAUAGGAAGGAAUGUACUUCCAGAAUAAGUCUCGGCUAACUACGUGCCAGCAGCCGCGGUAACACGUAGGAGGCAAACGUUAUCCGGAUUUACUGGGCGUAAAGCGCGUGUAGGUGGUUCUGUAAGUAGGGCGUGAAAGCUCCUGGCUCAACUGGGAGAGGCCGUUCUAAACUGCAGAGCUAGAGGAUGGUAGAGGGAGGUGGAAUUCCGGGUGUAGCGGUGGAACGCGCAGAUAUCCGGAGGAACACCAGUGGCGAAAGCGGCCUCCUGGACCAUUCCUGACACUCAGACGCGAAAGCUAGGGUAGCAAACG
rnacentral:rRNA from 1 species